UUGAAGAAAAAGUCUGCAGAAUGUGAAGAGACCAUUAUUUUCGGAGGAUCACAGGGCAGUGAAGGGAGGAAGGCUGGCAUGGGUGAAGUUAGAAAAGCCUCAUCUGGUAAUGAAGAAGAAAACUUUGGUACCCAGGCAGCUGAUGGUGGACUGCCUUCAUGACAUGCUGCAGUCCUUUUGGCGAAGAUAUUCCCAUGGUGUCAGGUGGUGAGCUCCAGGAAAAAGACUGAGUCAC